GACGAACGCUGGCGGCGUGCCUAAUACAUGCAAGUCGAACGCAUUUUCUUUCACCGUAGCUUGCUACACCGAAAGAAAAUGAGUGGCGAACGGGUGAGUAACACGUGGGUAACCUGCCCAUCAGCGGGGGAUAACACUUGGAAACAGGUGCUAAUACCGCAUAAUUCCAUUUACCGCAUGGUAGAUGGAUGAAAGGCGCUUUUGCGUCACUGAUGGAUGGACCCGCGGUGCAUUAGCUAGUUGGUGGGGUAACGGCCUACCAAGGCUGCGAUGCAUAGCCGACCUGGGAGGGUGAUCGGCCACACUGGGACUGAGACACGGCCCAGACUCCUACGGGAGGCAGCAGUAGGGAAUCUUCGGCAAUGGACACAAGUCUGACCGAGCAACGCCGCGUGAGUGAAGAAGGUUUUCGGAUCGUAAAACUCUGUUGUUAGAGAAGAAAAAGGAUGAGAGUGGAAAGUUCAUCCCUUGACGGUUUCUAACCAGAAAGCCACGGCUAACUACGUG
rnacentral:rRNA from 1 species